GACGAACCGAGCGAACGUUGUUCGGAAUCACUGGGCUUAAAGGGCGCGUAGGCGGGCUGUCAAGUCUGGGGUGAAAUCCCACGGCUCAACCGUGGAACUGCCUUAGAUACUGACGGCCUCGAGGGAGAUAGGGGCGAGCGGAACUGUGAGUGGAGCGGUGAAAUGCGUUGAUAUUCACAGGAACUCCGAUGGCGAAGGCGGCUCGCUGGAUCUUUUCUGACGCUGAGGCGCGAAAGCUAGGGGAGCAAACGGG
rnacentral:rRNA from 1 species